rnacentral:rRNA from 3 species
UUAGAUCGUACCCACAUUUACUUGGAUAACUGUGGUAAUUCUAGAGCUAAUACAUGCAAACAGAGCUCCGACCGGAGACGGAAGGAGCGCUUUUAUUAGAUCAAAACCGAUCGGUGGUGGAUUUAUCCAUCAUCGUAUAACUUGGUGAAUCUGAAUAACUUUAAGCUGAUCGCACGGUCUAGCACCGGCGACGCAUCUUUCAAAUGUCUGCCUUAUCAACUGUCGAUGGUAGGUUCUGCGCCUACCAUGGUUGUAACGGGUAACGGGGAAUCAGGGUUCGAUUCCGGAGAGGGAGCCUGAGAAACGGCUACCACAUCCAAGGAAGGCAGCAGGCGCGCAAAUUACCCACUCCCGGCACGGGGAGGUAGUGACGAAAAAUAACGAUACGGGACUCAUCCGAGGCCCCGUAAUCGGAAUGAGUACACUCUAAACCCUUUAACGAGGAUCAAUUGGAGGGCAAGUCUGGUGCCAGCAGCCGCGGUAAUUCCAGCUCCAAUAGCGUAUAUUAAAGUUGUUGCGGUUAAAAAGCUCGUAGUCGAAUCUGUGUCCCGCACCGCCGGUUCAUCGUUCGCGGUGUUAACUGGCGUGCCGCGGGACGUCCUGCCGGUGGGCUUAGCUCGCAAGGGCGGCCCAAAUCAAUCCUGCCACGGUGCUCUUCAUUGAGUGUCGAGGUGGGCCGGCACGUUUACUUUGAACAAAUUAGAGUGCUUAAAGCAGGCUAAAAUUUCGCCUGAAUACUGUGUGCAUGGAAUAAUGGAAUAGGACCUCGGUUCUAUUUUGUUGGUUUUCGGAACCCCGAGGUAAUGAUUAAUAGGGACGGAUGGGGGCAUUC